GGUAGUUAUGGCGAGAAGGUCACACCCGUUCCCAUCCCGAACACGGUAGUUAAGCUUCUCUGCGCCAAUGGUAG
rnacentral:rRNA from 1 species